rnacentral:rRNA from 1 species
GGGUUGUGAGGUUAAGCGACUAAGCGUACACGGUGGAUGCCCUGGCAGUCAGAGGCGAUGAAGGACGUGCUAAUCUGCGAAAAGCGCCGGCGAGGUGAUAUGAACCUUUGACCCGGCGAUGUCCGAAUGGGGAAACCCAGUGCAAUCCGUUGCACUAUCGUUAACUGAAUACAUAGGUUAACGAGGCGAACCGGGGGAACUGAAACAUCUAAGUACCCCGAGGAAAAGAAAUCAACCGAGAUUCCCCCAGUAGCGGCGAGCGAACGGGGAGCAGCCCGGAGUCUGAAUCAGCUUGUGUGUUAGUGGAACGGUCUGGAAAGUCCGACGGUACAGGGUGAUAGUCCCGUACACGAAAGCACACUUGCUGUGAACUCGAAGAGUAGGGCGGGACACGUGGUAUCCUGUCUGAAUAUGGGGGGACCAUCCUCCAAGGCUAAAUACUCCUGACUGACCGAUAGUGAACCAGUACCGUGAGGGAAAGGCGAAAAGAACCCCGGCGAGGGGAGUGAAAAAGAACCUGAAACCGUGUACGUACAAGCAGUGGGAGCCUCUUUAUGGGGUGACUGCGUACCUUUUGUAUAAUGGGUCAGCGACUUAUAUUCUGUAGCAAGGUUAACCGUAUAGGGGAGCCGAAGGGAAACCGAGUCUUAACUGGGCGUUAAGUUGCAGGGUAUAGACCCGAAACCCGGUGAUCUAGCCAUGGGCAGGUUGAAGGUUGGGUAACACUAACUGGAGGACCGAACCGACUAAUGUUGAAAAAUUAGCGGAUGACCUGUGGCUGGGGGUGAAAGGCCAAUCAAACCGGGAGAUAGCUGGUUCUCCCCGAAAGCUAUUUAGGUAGCGCCUCGUGAACUCAUCUUCGGGGGUAGAGCACUGUUUCGGCUAGGGGGCCAUCCCGGCUUACCAACCCGAUGCAAACUACGAAUACCGAAGAAUGUUAUCACGGGAGACACACGGCGGGUGCUAACGUCCGUCGUGAAGAGGGAAACAACCCAGACCGCCAGCUAAGGUCCCAAAGUCAUGGUUAAGUGGGAAACGAUGUGGGAAGGCACAGACAGCCAGGAUGUUGGCUUAGAAGCAGCCAUCAUUUAAAGAAAGCGUAAUAGCUCACUGGUCGAGUCGGCCUGCGCGGAAGAUGUAACGGGGCUAAACCAUGCACCGAAGCUGCGGCAGCGACACUAUGUGUUGUUGGGUAGGGGAGCGUUCUGUAAGCCGUUGAAGGUGUCCUGUGAGGGGUGCUGGAGGUAUCAGAAGUGCGAAUGCUGACAUAAGUAACGAUAAAGCGGGUGAAAAGCCCGCUCGCCGGAAGACCAAGGGUUCCUGUCCAACGUUAAUCGGGGCAGGGUGAGUCGACCCCUAAGGCGAGGCCGAAAGGCGUAGUCGAUGGGAAACAGGUUAAUAUUCCUGUACUUGGUGUUACUGCGAAGGGGGGACGGAGAAGGCUAUGUCAGCCGGGCGACGGUUGUCCCGGUUUAAGCAUGUAGGCGGAGGUUCCAGGUAAAUCCGGUACCUUAUUAACGCUGAGGUGUGAUGACGAGGCACUACGGUGCUGAAGUGAUAAAUGCCCUGCUUCCAGGAAAAGCCUCUAAGCAUCAGGUAACACGAAAUCGUACCCCAAACCGACACAGGUGGUCAGGUAGAGAAUACCAAGGCGCUUGAGAGAACUCGGGUGAAGGAACUAGGCAAAAUGGUGCCGUAACUUCGGGAGAAGGCACGCUGAUAGGUAGGUGAAGUCCCUGCGGACGGAGCUGAAAUCAGUCGAAGAUACCAGCUGGCUGCAACUGUUUAUUAAAAACACAGCACUGUGCAAACACGAAAGUGGACGUAUACGGUGUGACGCCUGCCCGGUGCCGGAAGGUUAAUUGAUGGGGUUAGCGGCAACGCGAAGCUCUUGAUCGAAGCCCCG